CCAAAUUCUGCAAGAAUGGCCACCAUCCACUGCUUUGACUGACUGUUGACUGUCUUUGACCUAAUUGCUGAUGACUGCUUCAACUGCAAGCAACAAGGUUAGACUGACAAUAUUUUUGUACUUUUUGAAUGAUAAACAUAUGAAAAGCAAAGAUAUACAAAUGCAAAGUAUGCUUGGUGAUCAAGAAACAACCCACGAGGCAACCUACCCACUAGGAGGGAAG
rnacentral:lncRNA from 1 species